rnacentral:rRNA from 1 species
GGCGAACGCUAGCGGCGGGCUUAACACAUGCAAGUCGAGCGCUUCACUUCGGUGAAGAGCGGCGGACGGGUGAGUAACACGUAGGUUACCUGCCCCUGGGUGAGGGACAACCGAGGGAAACCUCGGCUAAUACCACAUAUGGUCUACGGAUCAAAGGCUUCGGCCGCCCGGGGAUGGGCCUGCGUCCCAUUAUUUAAUCCUAGUUGGCGGGGUAACGGCCCACCAAGGGUACGAUGGGUAGCUGGUCUGAGAGGAUGAUCAGCCACACUGGAACUGAGACACGGUCCAGACUCCUACGGGAGGCAGCAGUGGGGAAUAUUGCGCAAUGGGCGAAAGCCUGACGCAGCCACGCCGCGUGAGUGAUGAAGGCCCCAGGGUCGUAAAGCUCUGUCGGGGGGGAAGAAGUUCUGACGGUACCCCCCGAACGAAAGACACCGGCGUAACUACCGUGCCAGCAGCCGCGGUAAUGUCACAUG